UAAUAUAAAUUUUAAAAUAUCAUCCAAAUUAAAAGUACUACAUAAACUAGAAUGUUAUAAUCUCAUUCAAAUACAAACUCAAAAAUCAAAUAACAAAAACAACCAAUCAACCAUAAAAUACCAGCAUCCAAGUUUGUCAUCAAUUGUCAAAAUCCGCCAUAACUUGCCGCAGUUUUGCUUCCUUGAUACAUCAAUUACUUAGACCAUAAAAAUCAAGUGGUGCAGCAUAACAUAUACUACUACCACCACCCACUACCACUUUAAUCUAAAUCAGCAUCAAUCAUAUAUAAAUAUACAAUUAGAUUUCAUUUUUAUUGUGCAAAUACAACUACUCCUACUCUACCAGCACAAUAUAUAACUUGUGAGCAAAGAAAAAAAACGAGAUGAAAGUAUCUCUUAUCUCUGAGGUUCUUCUCAAAACCAUUUAUUAUUAGUACUAGAGUCAUCAACCCCACCACCAUCAUUAUUAUCAUAAUGUAAUACAUCAUGGCUCAUCAUUAUUAAUUAAUCGCCUCCAAAUCAAGCUUCUUUCUAAUACCUCUAUAUAUAAAUUAAUCUCUCACUUAUCUAAACCCUUGUGGCUUGCGAGACUUGUUUGUGGAUUUGCCUAACAGAACAAUCAAAGGAGAUCAGAGGCCAUGCAAAGCUUCAUGUGUUUUCUUUCUUCUCUUUUUUUCUGUCAUGUGAAUUUUCUGUUUGUGGAAUAAAGUGUGUUAGAUAUCAAGCUUAUGAUUUAUCCAUGCCUACAUUGUUAUAGCUUCAUCAAGAUUACCACAACUCUUGCAAUGAAUUUAAAAGCCUUGUUAUGAAUGCCAAGAAUGAAAUGAAUUGAGUAGGUUUAACAUGACAGGUUUAACAGGGCAGGAGUAGGUUUAUCAUGGCAGGUUUCCAUCUUCCACUCAAUGAACAAUUUAUUAAAUCAACAACAGCAAUCCAACCCAAUAAUCUCAACUCUCAAGUUCAUAACAAACAACAUCCAAAAUUAUUUAAAAUUAUUCACAAUUAUUCAACAAACAAUAAAAUCCAGUUCAGUAAACAAGGUAAAAUCAAAGAGCUACUCAAUCAAAGAGUUCACAGUUUAGCAGUUCAUCAUGUCACAAAAUCCAGUUCAGUUUAGCAGGAUCAGUUCAGAGUUCACAGUUUCAGAGUUCAUCAUGUCACAAAAUCAAAGAGCUACUCAAUGAACAGAGUUCACAGUAUCAGAGUUCAUAGUAUCAGAGUUCAUCAUGCAACAGUUAUUCAAUGAUUCAAUCAAACAAUCAUAAGUUCAUAACUAAAAAAAAUUACCUGGAACUCUGGAAGCUCAAAGGCACCUUCAAGGCUUCAACUGAACAUGCAAUAGGGAGAGUGGGAGACAGCGACGCCGAGUGAACCAAGCAGUGGUGGAGCACCUUCGAAGGGACGACGGCUGCUACGCGAUGGAGGUGGCUGUUCCAAGGAACGACGGCUGCUGCGCGACGGAGGUGACUGGUCGAAGGAGGUGACUGCGCGACGGAGGUGACUGCUUGACGGAGGUGACUGCUCGACGGAGGUGACUGCGCGACGGAGGUGACUGCUCGACAACGAACCCGUGUGGCCAUGUGAGACUGUGAGACUGUGAUGGCGUUAUCUGAUUCUGAAGCUCGAUGAGAA
rnacentral:lncRNA from 1 species